UACGUAGGGGGCAAGCGUUAUCCGGAUUUAUUGGGCGUAAAGUGCUCGUAGGCGGCCGUUCGCGUCGGAUGUGAAAGCUCAGGGCUCAACCCUGAGACGCCAUUCGAUACGGGACGGCUAGAGGUAGGUAGGGGAAAGUGGAAUUCCUGGUGUAGCGGUGAAAUGCGCAGAUAUCAGGAGGAACACCGGUGGCGAAGGCGGCUUUCUGGGCCUUACCUGACGCUGAGGAGCGAAAGCUGGGGGAGCGAACAGG
rnacentral:rRNA from 1 species